rnacentral:rRNA from 1 species
GACGAACGCUGGCGGCGUGCUUAACACCUGCAAGUCGAACGAAGUGGCGAACGGGUGAGUAACGCGUAAUCAACCUGCCCUUCAGAGGGGGACAACAGUUGGAAACGACUGCUAAUACCGCAUACUGAAGGAGGGGAUUGCGUCUGAUUGGCUAGUUGGAGGGGUAACGGCCCACCAAGGCGAUGAUCAGUAGCCGGUCUGGGAGGAUGACCGGCCACACCGGGACGGAGAGACGGCCCGGACUCCUACGGGAGGCAGCAGUGGGGAAUAUUACGCAAUGGGGGCAACCCUGACGCAGCCAUGCCGCGUGAAUGAAGAAGGCCUUCGGGUUGUAAAGUUCUUUCGGUAUUGAGCGUUAAAUACAGAAGAAGCACCGGCUAACUCCGUGCCAGCAGCCGCGGUAAUAC